CCUACGGGAGGCUGCAGUGGGGAAUAUUGGACAAUGGGCGAAAGCCUGAUCCAGCCAUGCCGCGUGUGUGAAGAAGGCCUUCGGGUUGUAAAGCACUUUCAGCGGGGAGGAAGGCGGUGAGGUUAAUAACCUCAUCGAUUGACGUUACCCGCAGAAGAAGCACCGGCUAACUCCGUGCCAGCAGCCGCGGUAAUACGGAGGGUGCAAGCGUUAAUCGGAAUUACUGGGCGUAAAGCGCACGCAGGCGGUCUGUCAAGUCGGAUGUGAAAUCCCCGGGCUCAACCUGGGAACUGCAUUCGAAACUGGCAGGCUAGAGUCUUGUAGAGGGGGGUAGAAUUCCAGGUGUAGCGGUGAAAUGCGUAGAGAUCUGGAGGAAUACCGGUGGCGAAGGCGGCCCCCUGGACAAAGACUGACGCUCAGGUGCGAAAGCGUGGGGAGCAAACAGGAUUAGAUACCCUAGUAGUC
rnacentral:rRNA from 1 species